rnacentral:rRNA from 1 species
GACGAACGCUGGCGGCGUGCCUAAUACAUGCAAGUCGAACGCACAGUUUAUACCGUAGCUUGCUACACCAUAGACUGUGAGUUGCGAACGGGUGAGUAACGCGUAGGUAACCUGCCUGGUAGCGGGGGAUAACUAUUGGAAACGAUAGCUAAUACCGCAUAAUAUUAAUUAUUGCAUGAUAAUUAAUUGAAAGUUGCAAUUGCACCACUACCAGAUGGACCUGCGUUGUAUUAGCUAGUAGGUGAGGUAACGGCUCACCUAGGCGACGAUACAUAGCCGACCUGAGAGGGUGAUCGGCCACACUGGGACUGAGACACGGCCCAGACGCCUACGGGAGGCAGCAGUAGGGAAGCUUCGGCAAUGGACGAAAGUCUGACCGAGCAACGCCGCGUGAGUGAAGAAGGUUUUCGGAUCGUAAAGCUCUGUUGUAAGAGAAGAACGGGUGUGAGAGUGGAAAGUUCACACUGUGACGGUAUCUUACCAGAAAGGGACGGCUAACUACGUG